CCUACGGGUGGCAGCAGUAGGGAAUUUUGCGCAAUGGGCGAAAGCCUGACGCAGCAACGCCGCGUGAUCGAGACGCCCUUCGGGGUGUAAAGAUCUGUCAGUGGGGACGAAACUUGACGGUACCCACAGAGGAAGCACCGGCUAACUCCGUGCCAGCAGCCGCGGUAAUACGGGGGGUGCAAGCGUUGUCCGGAAUCAUUGGGCGUAAAGAGUUCGUAGGCGGCACGUAAAGUCUGGUGUUAAAGGCAGAGGCUCAACUUCUGUACGGCACUGGAUACUUGCGAGCUAGAAUGCGGUAGAGGUAAAGGGAAUUCCUGGUGUAGCGGUGAAAUGCGUAGAUAUUAGGAGGAACACCAGUGGCGAAGGCGGCCUGCUGGGCUUUUACUGACGCUGAGGCUCGAAAGUGUGGGGAGCAAACAGGAUUAGAUACCCCGGUAGUC
rnacentral:rRNA from 1 species